AGGUGUGUAGUUCAGUGGUAGAAUACUUGCAUAGCAAGCACAAAGCUCUGGGUUCAAUCCCCAGCAAAUCAA
rnacentral:tRNA from 1 species